rnacentral:lncRNA from 1 species
CUGUACCAUCUACGCUUGUACCAGGAAGUAGUGCGGGAGGAUCCCUGCAUUCUCCUGUGUCCAGCUAUCUAGCUGCCUUCCCAUCUGUGGGACCCGGGCAAUAACACCAGAAACCAAAUGGCAUUUCUUCACUUCCUCUGGAACUGCAGGAAACCCAGCCCUCCCCAUCAUCCCAGACCUCCUGACCAGUUGAGGAAGAACCCAGGAGGAAGGGUGCUCAACGGUCACAUGUUGCUAGCGGCUACGUCAUUGGACAACGCAGAUAUAGAACAUUUAUAUCAUCGCAGAAAGUAACACUGGAGAGCAUUGCUGACCUUUGUUAGGGAACAAAAUCUUGACUUGUCUGCUUUCCAAGUCUUAUCAAAAGCCUGUUUAGGAGACGCGAUAUUUCCAGAAGAUUGGUGGCAAGGUGCCCGUUCCUAUGGUUUCUCUGAGUUUUAGCUGCGAAUCAGGCAAAACCAUCAACAGCGUUUUUGGAUCACGUACCUUGGCUCCCUGCAGGACUGCUUUCA